rnacentral:rRNA from 1 species
UACGAACUGUGCGAACGUUAUUCGGAAUCACUGGGCUUAAAGGGUGCGUAGGCGGCGCGGUAAGUCGGGUGUGAAAUCUCGGGGCUUAACUCCGAAACUGCAUUCGAUACUGCCGUGCUUGAGGACUGGAGAGGAGACUGGAAUUUACGGUGUAGCGGUGAAAUGCGUAGAUAUCGUAAGGAAGACCAGUGGCGAAGGCGGGUCUCUGGACAGUUCCU